rnacentral:lncRNA from 1 species
CCCAGCCCGCCCGCAGCAGCCAGGCACGCCCCGUCGCCACCCAGAAAUGCCACGGAGAGCUUCUUCCUUUGGAGCAGCGAGGGUCCCUGGAAUCUGUGUGCAAGGAUCCACAUGGAUCCACCUUUGCAGUCACUGUGGGCUUUCUGCAAAGCAAGCCUAAGGCAGGACAUCAUCGCUCAGGCAGGAGCCGGAGGCCAUGGGCUGGAGAUGCCCAGCACCACCUUCUGAAGCUGGCUGUUCCUGGCCAGGAUCCUGCUCCUGACCUGCAGGGUUUCACCACAAGCACAUGGCCAGGCUGCCUGCAGGCGUUCCUCUCACCGCCCUGUCUCCUGGCACACGGCCCCCUCGCCUCUGGACGACUGGCUGCUCUCCACCCUCGCGGAUCCUCCCCGGGAAGCCGCAGAGGAUUGUGAAAGAUCUUUCCUGGUUUAGGGAAGAUGUUGUUUAGCACGGUUCUGUCUGAGGGAUGAAAAGCACAGCUUGCUAAUGCAGAUGCAUAACACUGACAAAAGGAGAGGAGGGGAACCAGCUAAGGUAUGACUGGUGUGAGAUCUUCUUUACAGAAAAGAAACAUCCCAGCUUUCUGCCUCAGUCUGUUUCUUUGGUGAGGAAAAGAACUGACUGCUUCUAUUUUAAAUAAAGUUCAUUCAUGUUUGCUGUGUGUUCCA